UUCAGAGUAGUUAUUAUAUUUAGCUAGAUAACCCUAACACUUAAGUUAUUUCCAGUACUGUAGGAAAUCUUUAAGUACUGUAGCAGCAAUUUAGUCAUUUUUUGUUGAAAUAUAUAGUAAAGCAUAGGCUGCUUCUGCCAUGUAUAAAAAUGCAACACAUCAAAUUAUGCUCUCAUCUGUUCAAAAUCUUUCUUUAUAUGUAGUGAUAAAAUGAGUAUCUUGUAUUUUCCUUCUGAUCAUUUGGGGAAUAAAUUAGCUGUACAGCUGUUUCUUAAAAGAGUAAAAAAUAAUACCUUUAACAUUUGUAAGGAAAUGACAAAAUGUUUUGCCAAUUAAGAAUUUUAAAAGUGCUGAUGUCACAGAAAUAAAGUAAGUG
rnacentral:lncRNA from 1 species